UGACCGCUGGCGGCGUGCCUACUACAUGCAAGUCGAGCGACCAGACGCGGAGCUUGCUCCUCUGACGUUAGCGGCGGACGGGUGAGUAACACGUGGAUAACCUACCUAUAAGACUGGGAUAACUUCGGGAAACCGGAGCUAAUACCGGAUAAUAUAUUGAACCGCAUGGUUCAAUAGUGAAAGACGGUUUUGCUGUCACUUAUAGAUGGAUCCGCGCCGCAUUAGCUAGUUGGUAAGGUAACGGCUUACCAAGGCAACGAUGCGUAGCCGACCUGAGAGGGUGAUCGGCCACACUGGAACUGAGACACGGUCCAGACUCCUACGGGAGGCAGCAGUAGGGAAUCUUCCGCAAUGGGCGAAAGCCUGACGGAGCAACGCCGCGUGAGUGAUGAAGGUCUUCGGAUCGUAAAACUCUGUUAUUAGGGAAGAACAAAUGUGUAAGUAACGAUGCACGUCUUGACGGUACCUAAUCAGAAAGCCACGGCUAACUACGU
rnacentral:rRNA from 1 species